UACGGAGGGUGCGAGCGUUGUCCGGAAUCACUGGGCGUAAAGGGCGCGUAGGCGGCGCGGAUAGUCGGCGGUGAAAGCCCGGAGCUCAACUCCGGGUCGGCCGUCGAUACUUCCGGGCUUGAGCACUGUAGAGGCAGAUGGAAUUCCGGGUGUAGCGGUGGAAUGCGUAGAGAUCCGGAAGAACACCGGUGGCGAAGGCGGCCUGCUGGGCAGUGGCUGACGCUGAGGCGCGACAGCGUGGGGAGCAAACAGG
rnacentral:rRNA from 1 species